GGCCGCCUGGCGAAAUGGCAUCGCGUCUGACUACGAAUUGCGAAUCAGGAGAUUGCAGGUUCGACCCCUGCGGUGGUCA